GACGAACGCUGGCGGCGUGCUUAACACAUGCAAGUCGAACGGAAAGGCCCUGCUUGCAGGGUACUCGAGUGGCGAACGGGUGAGUAACACGCGGGUGAUCUGCCCUGCACUUCGGGAUAAGCCUGGGAAACUGGGUCUAAUACCGGAUAGGAGCCAUUCUUAGUGUGAUGGUUGGAAAGUUUUUUCGGUGUGGGAUGAGCUCGCGGGCUAUCAGCUUGUUGGUGGGGUAAUGGCCUACCAAGGCGGCGACGGGGAGCCGGCCUGGGAGGGUGGACGGCCACAUUGGGGCUGGGGUACGGCCCAGACUCCUACGGGGGGCAGCAGUGGGGAAUAUUGCACAAUGGGCGCGAGCCUGAUGCAGGGACGCCGCGGGGGGGAUGACGGCCUUCGGGUUGUAAACUCCUUUCGCUAGGGACGAAGCUUUUUGUGACGGUACCUAGAGAAGAAGCACCGGCUAACUACGUG
rnacentral:rRNA from 1 species